AAAAUAAGUCUUAACCGAUUUGUAUCCAAGCGCGGAUUAAUCCACGCGCUGCGACUGUCUUCUAUCACCAAGCGUGGAUUAUUACGCAAUCGGACGACUGUCUUCAAUCACCAAGCGCGGAUUAAUACGCGCGCUGCGACUCCUUCUUUUUAUUUCUAUUUUAAUUUAAAUAAUUUUUACUUUUUUCCCCUGUUAUAAAGAAUGUAAGAUGCGAUAUUUUCGAAGUCACAUUGUCUACCAAUCGUUUUGAACAGUAAAUUUUCGAUAAACUCCAUGAAGAAUUCGGAUGUCAUUUACUGCACCUACGACCGACCGCGCGUGGUGAUAGGGACCAGUCCUCUUAAGUAGGGUCAUGAUGCAAAUAAGGACAAUGUGGCAGGACAAAUUUUAGAGGACUCACCGGGGGAUCGUCUCAGUACCACCAUUUUCCUGAAGAUAAAUAGAAACAAAUUUUGUUGUAUUCAUCAAAUGUUACUGCAUCUCAUAAAUGUCAGGAAACAAGUUUCCUAUUCAGUUCAUUAUUUAAAUGAAUGCGUUCAAUAUGCCACCCCCCCUUAAUAUAUUUCCUCUGCUUUUCUUUGUCUCACUCACUAUUUCUGUCUGUCACGCACGAUUUCUGUCUCUCAUGCACUCUCUUGCUCUUUCGAACUUUUUAUAUCUUGCAAUUUAUAAUCGUGUAUGAACUAUCGUUACGAGCCGGAGAAUUCUGCACUGCUCAGACUCUACAGUCGAGUAGAAGUUUUAAAGUCUUUCAGAUACUACAGAUGUGGUUGUACUGUCUUCAUUUGUUUGGUGCUUUUUGGAUAAUAAUACGUAUUUACGUUAGUACUUUUAAAGCUUUGUGUGAGGCUAGCGAUGUCGAUCGGUGAAAUCUUUGAUUACUUAUAUCCAUCCCGGACAAAAAACUUUGAGAAUUUACAUUACAAUGAGUCUAGAUCUAUGACUUCCAAUUUACUGGUGUUUUGGUCGUCGAUAAUUGUGGCAAGCUGUUUCCUCCAAUGUUUCGGCUGGACCUGGUCAUACUUCAUUCAGAUACUAGAAGUGUGGCCUCGCAUUUUCGGUUCUUUGGAUAUCGAUGAUGAUACUGACGAAGAACAUUAACACCAAAGUUCUUCACCUCAAGCUCAAAGCUGACUCGUUGUCAGGUAUUAGUUUGUGAGAUCCUUGUAAGCAUGAUUUUAUGAUUUUAGUUCGUUCAAUGUUCAAUGAUGACGAUGUCAGUGGACAUUAAAUUUUUGAAGAAAUAUUCGUCAUGUCGUAUUCAUCAUUUAAUAUUCGCAUAAGAGUUCACAAUUAAUCGUGAGGUCAUGCGUUUUAAUUUCCAUACUUCAGUUUAAAUAAUGAUUCCUGUGCACGUUAAAUUGGAAAUUGAGCGCUCAUGGCACAUAGAAAUACGUGAUACAGAAAAACAUACAUAGACAAUUUACACUUGAAAAUAAUUAAUGUUUUUAUAUAAUUGUAAUUUUAUAAGAUUCUGAUGUGUACAUAAAUACUAUAGUUGAUUAUAAUUAAAGCGAUGCAAUGAAAAUGUUAAGCAUUUGGUUCGACCCGUGGUAACGGGCUGUACAAAUGUAAUGCGUUAAAUAUCUCAAAACAUGUGAUAGAUAUUAACACAAAUUUUGAAUAUACAAUGAGGAAUAACAUUUGGAAUACUCCCAUCAAUGUUAGACAAUGUAUAUAGCGAUUAAACAUAAACAUGUAUAUAGCGAAUAAAAUAACUUCUCUAUAAUGAUG